ACUACGCAGCGCUGCGUUUCCAACCGGAUGACUUUAGCGGAAGUACCCGGUCAGCGCAAGGAGCACCGGCGCACGACGGCGGGGGAGAGCUGCCCUUUUUCUCAGGUCUCUUUGCUGGUUAGGAUAAAUCGUGCGUGUGUAUUCAACGCGUGUAUCCGGACGUGCAGCCCUGUGUAGAGGGAUGUUUUGUGUAACUCUUGUUAAAGCUCGCAAUCAGGGGCGGUCUUGUUUGCUAACCUUAGCUCAGGUUAGUUUGUUUUCUUUACAUUAUCCAGUGUGCGGCACCGUUUUUAAAAAAACGCGUUGUACGUGAGCUGAUUUAAGAUUUCGGUGCAUUUCGUCCAUGGCAAGUCAGAGAGUCGUUUGCAGGUAGUCCGGGUGAUCAAAUAAGAGAAGUAGCGAAUCAGUGUGCCUUCUCCACAAGUCAUGAGGGAGUUUUUGAGGAAGAUACACAGCACAUUUCUAAAUAUCGCCCUGUUCCCAAGCACACUCGGCAGGACAGGCCCUCGGCCAGCCGCCUCGGAGGUGCUGACCUGUCACCUGCUGCAGCGUAAACUCCCGCCGUGGACUUCAUACUGUGUCCGAUACAGCUCCGUCAACAAUGACCAGUUUGGACUGUCCAACUUUAACUGGAGGGUUCAGGGGUCCAACUACCAAAUACUGAGGACAGGCUGCUUCCCCUUUAUAAAAUAUCACUGUACCAAAGCGCCUCCACAGAACCUGGACUUUGAGGACAGGUUUUUCACCGUGUUGAAAGUGAUUAAUCUGGGCAUCCCUUGUCUGGCCUAUGGCAUUGGUUGCUGGAUGGUGGUGGGAGCCACAGAAACAGUGCAGACAAGUGUUGGACCUGUCACAGUCUAUUUUGCCUACAAAGAAGAAGAAGGCGCACAAUAUUAAACCAAGAAAUCCCAGUAUUUAAAAUGCAUCUUCAAGAAAGUAUUAUCUACACAGCUGCUGUAUUUACAGCAUUUCCCCAGGAUGAUGUGAGUCGGUGAAAUCUAAACUGUGGAGCAGAUAUAUGGCUUGGCAGAAACAAUUAUUGUGUGAACAACCCCUGCAGCUAAUGCUGGUGAGGUUAUCAUUAUUAAGCCUGUGGAUCGGCCACCAGCACUGUCUCCACGAACAGCCAAGGUACUAGAGCCAUCACUCAGAUCACUUUAAGGAUCACGCUGGUAUUACAUCUUAAUGCAGAGGUGUCAGCCAACAUUGCCGCUACAUCCUCUGCAAAAUGGCAUUUUUUGAAUUAUAAUGUGACAACUGAAACAUACAGCUCAUUACUUUUCAACUAGAAACAUCUCCAGUCUCAGGCAUAUGCACAUUUUGAUCAGCUUUAAAAGAGUAAUAC